GUGGAUUAGAUACCCUGGUAGUCCAUGCCGUAAACGUUGGGCACUAGGUGUGGGUUCCAACCAACGGAAUCCGCGCCGUCGCUAACGCAUUAAGUGCCCCGCCUGGGGAGUACGGCCGCAAGGCUAAAACUCAAAGGAAUUGACGGGGGCCCGCACAAGCAGCGGAGCGUGUUGCUUAAUUCGAUGCUACGCGAAGAACCUUACCUGGGUUUGACAUGUGGGGAAAAGCACUAGAGAUAGUGUGUCCUUCGGGGCCUCACACAGGUGGUGCACGGUCGUCGACAACU
rnacentral:rRNA from 1 species